rnacentral:lncRNA from 1 species
GGGGGGGGGUGAAUUGGGUUUUUAAAUUAACUUAGCUAAUUAAAACUUUGUGGAUGAUUAACUAAAUACUAUAGCCAGUUAUUUAAUUAAAGCUAAGUGCUGUGAGUAAUGUGUGGGGAAGAAGAUGAGAGACAAUGCACUACAAACACAAAGUUUUAUAGUGGUUCGGAGCUAACCCUUGCUCCUACGUCCACUCCCCAAGUCUCACUUGGGAAUUUCACUAUAACCCCCUUGGAUUACAGCCGGUUGUUUUGCAAGCUCACAACCGAACUUGUUGUUUUACGAGCUCACAACGAACUCGGUCGGUUUUUCCAGGCUCACCGACUAGAACCAACCCCGAUUGUUUUC